rnacentral:rRNA from 1 species
GAUUAACGCUGGCGGCGUGCAUAACACAUGCAAGUCGAACGAUGAAACUUAACUGAUUUCUUCGGAAUGAUUUUAAGUGGAUUAGUGGCGGACGGGUGAGUAACGCGUGAGUAACCUGCCUUGGAGAAGGGGAUAGCCUUUGGAAACGAAGAAUAAUACCCUAUGAUAUGAUAAUAUCUCAUGAUAUUAUCAUCAAAGAUUUAUCGCUCUAAGAUGGACUUGCGUCUGAUUAGUUAGUUGGUGAGGUAACAGCUCACCAAGGCAGCGAUCAGUAGCCGGCUUGAGAGAGUGUACGGCCACAUUGGGACUGAGACACGGCCCAGACUCCUACGGGAGGCAGCAGUGGGGAAUUUUGCACAAUGGGGGAAACCCUGAUGCAGCGACGCCGCGUGAUUUAGAAGGCCUUCGGGUUGUAAAAAUCUUUUGUAUGGGAAGAAAAUGACAGUACCAUACGAAUAAGGACCGGCUAAUUACGU